rnacentral:rRNA from 1 species
UGGGGAAUAUUGCACAAUGGGCGCAAGCCUGAUGCAGCCAUGCCGCGUGUGUGAAGAAGGCCUUCGGGUUGUAAAGCACUUUCAGCGAGGAGGAAGGUGGUGAGCUUAAUACGCUCAUCAAUUGACGUUACUCGCAGAAGAAGCACCGGCUAACUCCGUGCCAGCAGCCGCGGUAAUACGGAGGGUGCAAGCGUUAAUCGGAAUUACUGGGCGUAAAGCGCACGCAGGCGGUUUGUUAAGUCAGAUGUGAAAUCCCCGGGCUCAACCUGGGAACUGCAUUUGAAACUGGCAAGCUAGAGUCUCGUAGAGGGGGGUAGAAUUCCAGGUGUAGCGGUGAAAUGCGUAGAGAUCUGGAGGAAUACCGGUGGCGAAGGCGGCCCCCUGGACGAAGACUGACGCUCAGGUGCGAAAAGCGUGGGGCAGCAAACAGGAUUAGAUACCCUGGUAGUCCACGCUGUAAACGAUGUCGAUUUUGGAGGUUGUGCCCUUGAGGCGUGGCUUCCGGAGCUAACGCGUUAAAGUCGACCGCCUGGGGAGUACGG